UACCUGAUGACUGAAGAGUAAGUAUAGAUCUUUUAAAUCUAAUAUAGUAGUUUACACCUACUUCUGGUAA
rnacentral:tRNA from 1 species